rnacentral:rRNA from 1 species
CCUACGGGAGGCAGCAGUGGGGAAUAUUGGACAAUGGGGGGAACCCUGAUCCAGCGACGCCGCGUGAGUGAAGAAGUAUUUCGGUAUGUAAAGCUCUAUCAGUAGGGAAGAAAGAAAUGACGGUACCUGACUAAGAAGCCCCGGCUAACUACGUGCCAGCAGCCGCGGUAAUACGUAGGGGGCAAGCGUUAUCCGGAUUUACUGGGUGUAAAGGGAGCGUAGACGGCGAUGCAAGUCUGAAGUGAAAGGCGGGGGCCCAACCCCCGGACUGCUUUGGAAACUGUAUGGCUGGAGUGAAGGAGAGGUAAGUGGAAUUCAUAGUGUAGCGGUGAAAUGCGUAGAUAUUAGGAGGAACACCAGUGGCGAAGGCGGCUUACUGGACUGUAACUGACGUUGAGGCUCGAAAGCGUGGGGAGCAAACAGGAUUAGAUACCCCAGUAGUC